AACGAACGCUGGCGGCAUGCCUAACACAUGCAAGUCGAACGAGACCUUCGGGUCUAGUGGCGCACGGGUGCGUAACGCGUGGGAACCUGCCCUUAGGCUCGGAAUAACUCCCCGAAAGGGGUGCUAAUACCGGAUAAUGUCUUCGGACCAAAGAUUUAUCGCCUUUGGAUGGGCCCGCGUUGGAUUAGCUAGUUGGUAGGGUAAAAGCCUACCAAGGCGACGAUCCAUAGCUGGUCUGAGAGGAUGAUCAGCCACACUGGGACUGAGACACGGCCCAGACUCCUACGGGAAGCAGCAGUGGGGAAUAUUGGACAAUGGGCGAAAGCCUGAUCCAGCAAUGCCGCGUGAGUGAUGAAGGCCUUAGGGUUGUAAAGCUCUUUUACCCGGGAUGAUAAUGACGGUACCGGGAGAAUAAGCUCCGGCUAACUCCGUG
rnacentral:rRNA from 1 species